AGCGAACGCUGGCGGCAGGCCUAACACAUGCAAGUCGAACGAAGUCUUCGGACUUAGUGGCGGACGGGUGAGUAACACGUGGGAACGUGCCUUUAGGUUCGGAAUAACUCAGGGAAACUUGUGCUAAUACCGAAUGUGCCCUUCGGGGGAAAGAUUUAUCGCCGUUAGAGCGGCCCGCGUCGGAUUAGCUAGUUGGUGAGGUAAGGCUCACCAAGGCUACGAUCAGUAGCUGGUCUGAGAGGAUGACCAGCCACAUUGGGACUGAGAACACGGCCCAAACUCCUACGGGAGGCAGCAGUGGGGAAUCUUGCGCAAUGGGCGAAAGCCUGACGCAGCCAUGCCGCGUGGAUGAUGAAGGUCUUAGGAUUGUAAAAUCCUUUCACCGGCGAAGAUAAUGACUGUAGCCGGAGAAGAAGCCCCGGCUAACUUCGUGCCAGCCGCCGCGGUAACAC
rnacentral:rRNA from 1 species